rnacentral:rRNA from 1 species
UACGGGAGGUGCGAAGCGUUGUUCGGAUUGAUUGGCGUAAAGCGCACGUAGGCGGGUUCACAAGUCGGAUGAUGAAACGCCCGGGCUCAACCUGGGAAUUGGCAUCCGAAACUAAUGGAUCUUUGAAUGCUUGAGGGGUUGGGUGGAAUUCUUGGUGUAGGAGUGAAAUCCGUAGAAUAUCAAGAGGAAUACCGGAGGCGAAGGCGGCCGACUGGCAAUGCAUUGACGCUGAGGUGCGAAAGUGCGGGGAGCAAACAGGG